rnacentral:rRNA from 1 species
UUGCCCUAGUAACGGCGAGUGAAGCGGCAAAAGCUCAAAUUUGAAAUCUGGCUUUCUAGGAAGCCCGAGUUGUACUUUGUAGAGGGUGCUUUGUAUUGGCAGCAGUCUAAGUUCCUUGGAAGAGGACGUCAUAUAGGGUGAGAAUCCCGUAUGGGAUUGCCUGCCUUUAUCAUGUAAAGCCCCUUCAACGAGUCGAGUUGUUUG